CUGUGUCCUCCAUCACUCCAUUUCCUUUGAUUCUGUUUCUCCUUGAGGACGGAUUCAGGCCUCCCUGCAGAACGUAUCUCUUGGUUUCUCAUCCUCCGUCUCUCCACCCUUCUUUGAAAAGAAGAAGAGGUGAGCAAGGAUUUUAAGACAGCAUACAGAAGAAACCCCAGGAAAACCUGACGGAUCCCUUGACCCCUUGAUCCCACUCCCACAUGGAAGCAAAAGCCAAAGGAUCAUCAAAGUCUGCCUCCAAAGCAGAGAAGAAGGAGGCAGCACCACCUCCAAAGCCAGAUCCCGUCUCUGCUGAACCUGCAGAACCCGAGAAGCCGGCGGAAGAUGGAGCGACCAACCAAGAGGGGGCGGCGGAGUCCGCAGGAAGUUGCUGUGAAACCUUAGAAAGUUUGAAGCCUUUCCUUAUUGGAGGAGCUGUUAUUGCGCUUGGAGCUGUAUUGGUGGGCGUAAUCUUGUUAGCCAAGAAAAACUGACCUGAGGCCUAUGAUUGGUUGUUAAACAGUGGGGUUGAUCAAUUCACAGACUAUUCAAAGUUUAUAUAAAGGGGUGGGGAGUCACUAGUAGAGUGAACAUAUAUCCUCUUUGUCCUGGACAUGUCCUGUUCAGGAUUUCUAAAUGGCCUAAAAUGCCCAGGUUUUGGCUUGACUGAAAUGUAGUUUGACCAAUAGCGUGCAGGCAUUGUACAUCAUCGACCAAUUGCGGCGCACGAGAAGAGACUGCACCAAUAGGAAAACAAAGGCAAAACCCUGGCAUUUCAAGCAAUUAAGAAAUCCUGGCCAGGACAUGUCCUGGAAAAUGAGUACGUAUGGUCGCUCUACACUCUAGGCGUCUUAAUUUUAUGCUGUAUUUUAAUUUCAGUGCUUGUGGUGACCUUCCCGCCAGCUAUUAAAGCAAGCUAGAAUUGCAUUUAGGCCAAACACUUUUUCAUAUAACAUUAAACAGUCGUAGCCGAUGCACAAUUACACCACAAUUUCAUCCUAGUCACUUUGCCUGCUGGUUGACGCUCAGAAACAUCCUCAUCCAUGCCAUAAUCUUGAUAUAAAACCAAUUAUCCAAAAAUGAUUUCAGUUUUUCAAGCUGGACUUCAAUAGCUGAAUCCACAACUGCCAACUGUAAAAUAAAACAACACUAAGAUGCAUGAUUCAAGUUUAAAAAAUACAGACGUUUUCUGUCGUUUAUAAAAAUGAAAUGCUAUUUAUGUCUUGAUACUAAAAAAAGCAAUUGGUUUCAUAUUUAAAUGCUUGUGCAAAUCCAUAUGUACAUAUCAAGCCACUGACAUCUAUUACAGCUAGGCCUGUAUUGUUGAAAGAAGGCGUAGAAAUGUAAAGAAAAUCUUAGUUUCAAAUAAUGUAUAUUAUAUGUGUUCAUUCUGUAUUUGACAUCACCUUCCAUCAAACAAACACAAGCCAUUCACUAAUUCAAUAAUCUUGCCUGUGAAUUUGCAUACUGUAGACCAUGUGUGCCAUUUCAAAAUCCUAGUUUCUUGUCUGAACGACGUUGACGAUUUUUCUGAAGUGGGCCAAUGGAAAUAGAUGCGUGAUGCAACAUAGAUGCAACGUAGAUUAUGACGGCUCUCGGCCAACAGCUUUCAAUUUCGCAGUUACACUACGAUGAGCGCUACACACAACAGAAACAAUCCCUAAAUGCAUGCAGACACAGACAAUAUACACUCACACGUCACAUGACAUACUGUUACAGAAAAUUACAUUUUCUUUAAAGUGCGUAUAUAAUGCAAUAAUUCAAAUAGAACUCUGUAUUUAAAAGAAAGAAGACUGUGUAUUAGUUGUGAUACUGACGGUAACGACGCGGAGGGUGACGUGGCAACAUGGCGGUUGUCUCGGUGGUAAUGAUGACGAUGAUGAGUGAUUAUGAUUUUAUUUGUUUGUUCUAAUGAAGUCUACCUGUUCCUCUAAUGUGGCCCCUUUCCUCCUGCCAUAUGUAUUUAUUUUGCACACAACCUCGCCUGCUGCCUUUCUGCUGUUCCUCGUGUGAAUUAAAACAAGAUGGCUCCCUUGUGACUUGAUGACCUUAUUAAAGGACAAUGAACCAUA